UACAGAGGGGGCAAGCGUUAUUCGGAAUUACUGGGCGUAAAGGGCGCGUAGGCGGUCAGGUCAGUCCCGUGUGAAAUCCCUCGGCUCAACUGAGGAACUGCACGGGAAACUACCUGGCUUGAGUUCGGGAGAGGGAAGCGGAAUUCCGGGUGUAGCGGUGAAAUGCGUAGAUAUCCGGAGGAACACCGGUGGCGAAGGCGGCUUCCUGGACCGACACUGACGCUGAGGCGCGAAAGCUAGGGGAGCAAACGGG
rnacentral:rRNA from 1 species